GAUGAAGAACGCAGCGAAAUGCGAUAAGUAAUGUGAAUUGCAGAAUUCAGUGAAUCAUCGAAUCUUUGAACGCACAUUGCGCCCGCCAGCACUCUGGCGGGCAUGCCUGUCCGAGCGUCAUCUCAACCCUCGAGCCCAGCCUCGGCCGCUGGGGGAGGCGGCCCCGCGCCGCCCCCCCGAAAUGCAGUGGCGGUCCCGCCCCGGCGUCCCCUGCGCAGUAAGACCCCCCCGGGGACCCUCGCACCGGACGGCGGGCGGCGGCCACGCCGCGAAGCAGACGUUCGCGUCGACCCCCCACAGGUUGACCUCGGAUCAGGUAGGGAUACCCGCUGAACUUAAGCAUAUCAAUAAGCGGAGGAU
rnacentral:misc_RNA from 1 species